rnacentral:sRNA from 1 species
GAGCUGGUGAUGAUUGAAAAAAAUGAAACUUGGCAGCUUGUUGACAGCUC